rnacentral:rRNA from 1 species
UACGAAGGGGGCGAGCGUUGUUCGGAUUUACUGGGCGUAAAGGGCGCGCAGGCGGUUCUGUUUGUCGAGUGUGAAAGCCCCGGGCUCAACCUGGGAACUGCGCUCGAAACGGCGGAACUAGAGUUCGGGAGAGGAGAGUGGAAUUCCCAGUGUAGAGGUGAAAUUCGUAGAUAUUGGGAAGAACACCGAUGGCGAAGGCAGCCAUCUGGACCGACACUGACGCUGAGGCGCGAAAGCGUGGGGAGCAAACAGG